GUCCACGCCGUAAACGAUGCGCACUAGACUGGUGCGGUUUUGACGCCGUAUCAGUCGUAGUAAAACGAUAAGUGCGCCGCCUGGGGAGUACGGUCGCAAGGCUAAAACUCAAAUGAAUUGACGGGGGCUCACACAAGCGGUGGAGCAUGUUGCUUAAUUCGAGGCAACGCGAAGAACCUUACCUGGGUUUGACAUGUACGGAUUAACCUCAUGAAAGUGAGGCCACAGUCGCAAGACCGGAACGUGCACAGGUGCUGCAUGGCUGUCGU
rnacentral:rRNA from 1 species